ACAGGUAGUGAGACCACGCCGUUACAAGAUGGCGGUGUGUCUGUAAAGGGGCAGAACACGGCGGUUAAAACAGCUCACAGAAGGCGCACAACGUCCGUUGUAUGUGUUGUAUUCUUCAGUGAAUGAGUCAUGGACUGACCUUUGUACCUGGGAUGUAAAACUGGUCUAAGACAUCCACCUCUGCUACCUGCCUUGUCUGACAGACCCUAGGAUGUGUGAAGUAAAAGCUGAUACUGUAUACCUGACCAUGUUCCUGUGGGACCUGUCAGCUAUCCUGUGUACCUGUCCAUAUUCCAGGAGGACCUGUCUGUGUUCCUGUGUGACCUGUCAGCUAUCCUGUGUGCCUGUCCAUAUUCCAGGAGGACCUGUCUGUGUUCCUGUGGGACCUGUCAGCUAUCCUGUGUGCCUGUCCAUAUUCCAGGAGGACCUGUCUGUGUUCCUGUGGGACCUGUCAGCUAUCCUGUGUACCUGUCCAUACUCCAGGAGGACCUGUCUGUGUUCCUGUGGGACCUGUCAGCUAUCCUGUGUACCUGUCCAUACUCCAGGAGGACCUGUUCAUGUUCCUGUGUGCCAGAGACCUCAGUCUGCUCAAGACAAGAGAACAUUGGACUUGACUGUGAGUUAGUUUCUACUUUUAGAACUCUUUCAAACAUGGAGAUCUGCAUGCUGCAAGGCGUAAUAAACUGUUUUGCAUAAUUAGCCAUUUUAAUUUUGCGCUAGAUUUUGCAGCUCUGAUGUUAUGAUACAUACAAUAUAGUCUGUGCAUUGUGCAUAAAGCGUCCAGCCCGUGCGAAUAAAGCGUAAUAUGUGACUGCUAACUGAUGGAAUCGAGCGAAAAGUUUAAUCGGGUCCUACCCUGCAGAUUCCCAAAAAUGACAACAAAAAAUGUUGGGAAAGGGCAAUAGUUGGCAAUCCUCUGAAUUCUUAGUUCCAAACAUCAUUGUCAAAAGUAGCCCUCCCUGCUGUUUGUUGUCAUUUCUGAAAGAGUUCUCAUUUCUUAUACUAAUAUCUAGAUUAAGGUUGUGAUUUAUAUUUUAUUGCAGAUAUGGUGGAGAACACAGUACAUUAUCCUAUUGAAGAGAGCACUUGUACGAUUGUCUGUUGUUUCAUUCUGUAAGGCAAUGGAGGAUAGUUUCAAACUCAUUUGCAAUCAAACUGUUUUCCCUGAUAUACUCUUCAUUAUCUUUAACAUCUGCCCUUAGUGAAGCCGUUUUUAAACUGAAAAUUGUUAUUGUGACAGAAAGAAAAUGUACAUGAGGAAGCAGUCAUUAAAACAAGAAAAUGUAUUACUAGACAAAGAAGACUAUGAUUUUUGAAGCCAAAAAGGAAGAAUAAGAUGGAACCAACAUAUCAUAAAUUAAGCUGUA